GUUGUACUUUCUGUUGUUGUCUCAGUUGUGGUGCUUUCAGUUGUUAUUGAAAUUUCUGCUGUUGUACUUUCUAAAGUUGUGGUACCGGUGGUGGUGCUUUGUGUUGUUGUAGAUUCCAUUGUGGUGCUGUCUGUUGUUAUUGUUGUCUCUGCUGUUGUACUUUCUGGUGUUGUGGUACCGGAGGUUGUACUUUCUGUUGUUGUCUCAGCUGUGGUGCUUUCAGUUGUUGUUGAAGUUUCUGCUGUUGUACUUUCUAAAGUUGUGGUACCAAUGGUGGUGCUUUCUGUUGUUGUAGUAUCGAUUGUGGUGCUGUCUGUUGUUAUUGUUGUCUCUGCUGUUGUAGUUUCUGGUGUUGUGGCAACGGAGGUUGUACUUUCUAUUGUUGUCUCAGUUGUGGUGCUUUCAGUUGUUGUUGAAGUUUCUGCUGUUGUACUUGCUAAAGUUGUGGUAUCGGUGGUGGUGCUUUCUUUUGUUGUAGUAUCUAUUGUGGUGCUGUCUGUUGUCAUUGUCGUCUCUGCUGUUGUACUUUCUGGUGUUGUGGUACCAGAGGUUGUACUUUCUGUUGUUGUCUCAGCUGUGUUGCUUUCAGUUGUUGUUGAAGUUUCUGCUGUUGUACUUUCUAAAGUUGUGGUACCGAUGGUGGUGCUUUCUGUUGUUGUGGUCACUAUGGUAGUACUUUCUGUAGUUGUGGUGUCUUCUGUUGUUUUGAUCUCAGUUGUGGUGGCACUUUCUGUUGUAGUAUCUGUUGUGGUGCUUUCUGUUGUUGUUGGCUCAGUUGUUGUGAUUUCUGUUGUUGUGGUAGCUGUGGAGGUGCUUUCUGUUGUUGUUGUUGUUGUUGUAGUAGUGUCUGAUGUGGGGCUUUCUGUAGUUGUGGUAUCUUCUAUAGUUGUGGUUUCCAUUGUUGU
ensembl:lncRNA